UCUCUCAUAGUAUAACGGCUAAGUACACACACUCGAUGUCGGCAUUUGAGUACUUUAGAGCUCCGUGUGAGAUCUGGGUUCGAUUCCCGGUGAGAGAG